rnacentral:piRNA from 1 species
UGGAUGCUUUUUUUCUAGUGGGCGU